rnacentral:rRNA from 1 species
AUGAACGCUGGCGGCGUGCCUAAUACCUGCAAGUCGAGCGAACAGAUGAGGAGCUUGCUCCUCUGACGUUAGCGGCGGACGGGUGAGUAACACGUGGAUAGCCUACCUAUAAGACUGGGAUAACUUCGGGAAACCGGAGCUAAUACCGGAUAAUAUAUUGAACCGCAUGGUUCAAUAGUGAAAGACGGUUUUGCUGUCACUUAUAGAUGGAUCCGCGCCGCAUUAGCUAGUUGGUAAGGUAACGGCUUACCAAGGCAACGAUGCGUAGCCGACCUGAGAGGGUGAUCGGCCACACUGGAACUGAGACACGGUCCAGACUCCUACGGGAGGCAGCAGUAGGGAAUCUUCCGCAAUGGGCGAAAGCCUGACGGAGCAACGCCGCGUGAGUGAUGAAGGUCUUCGGAUCGUAAAACUCUGUUAUUAGGGAAGAACAAAUGUGUAAGUAACUAUGCACGUCUUGACGGUACCUAAUCAGAAAGCCACGGCUAACUACGUG